rnacentral:rRNA from 14 species
AGUCCCGCAACGAGCGCAACCCUCGCCGUUAGUUGCCAGCACGUUUGGGUGGGCACUCUAACGGGACUGCCGGUGUCAAACCGGAGGAAGGUGGGGAUGACGUCAAGUCAUCAUGGCCCUUACGAGUAGGGCUACACACGUGCUACAAUGGCAGUGACAAUGAGUUAAUCUCUAAAAGCUGUCUCAGUUCGAAUUGGGGUCUGCAACUCGACCCCAUGAAGUCGGAAUCGCUAGUAAUCGCAAAUCAGAAUGUUGCGGUGAAUACGUUCCCGGGCCUUGUACACACCGCCCGUCACAUCAUGGGAGUGGGCUGCAAAAGAAGUGGCUAGUCUAACCUUCGGGAGGACGGUCACCACUUUGUGGUUCAUGACUGGGAUGAAGUCGUAACAAGGUAGCCGUAGGGGAACCUGCGGCUGGAUCACCUCCUU